rnacentral:lncRNA from 1 species
CAGAGACUGAAUCCCCAGAGCACGACACAGCCUGGCACAUGGCAGGUUCUGCGGCUCCCUGAGACCAGCAGAUUCCUGGUCUCCGGGUCCCUGGGUCCCGGACGUGUCCAUCAAGGCGUCCAUUAGGGCCAUCACCUAAUGGACAAGCAUCAGGGUAAGGGGGGAGGUGCUAUUGGGGGGGGGUCCCUCAGAGAAUCAGCCCUAGCUCUGUGUGGGGGCAAAUACGGCCUCCCCACCUCCUUCCCUCCCAGGAGACACUGGCCUGAGCAUAAGUCUCGAGGGUCUGCCCUGUACUAAGCAAGCGCUUAAUCAGAGGAUGUGGCUUCUGCGGGAGAGCUUCAAAGGGUGCCCUACUUGCCCCUCUUGGUAACCAUGACGUCAUGGAAAUGGGAGGGGACCGCCCCAGCCCCCAAACACCUGGAGGGAAGUGGGAGACUUUUUCCACUUCCUGUUCUACUUGUGGCUACUGACUCAAUGUCUGACCUGUUUAUUAAUUGCAAAAUAUAGCUCUAUGUGUGCUACCCA